rnacentral:misc_RNA from 1 species
GGUUUGCAAGCCCUGCAAAACCAUGAAACUACAGUGUUAAAAUUAACUCUCACAAAAGAUAAAUACAUAUUGACAAAUUGCCAAAUAUCCAGUAUUCCAGUACAUGUAUAAUUGGCAUGAUAAUUAAUGAAAAUAUAGUGGUAAUAAUGAAAAAUAGGAUUUAUGUAAAUGAUUAACCAUCUGUGCCUUAAUCCAUGCAUGUGGGAUGAUUCCAGAGUGGAAAGGAAAAAAUCUUACCUCGACCCCACCUAUGCAGAAAAGAACCACCAAA